GCCCGCUGAGGCGGUUUGUAAGUUUUGGGUCGCAGUAUGCUAGAAUUUUGAGGCUCCCUUCCGAUGAAAAUUGAGCUGUCCAUGCAGCCAUGGAACCCAGGUUACAGCAGUGAGGGGGCCACGGCUCAAGGCCAGGCGCAGUGGCUCACGCCUGUAAUCCCAGCACUUUGAGAGGCCGAGGCGGGCAGAUCAUGAGGUCAGGAGAUCAAGACCAUCCUGGCUAACACGAAACUUACACAUGUCCAAAAAUGAUUGAGAUAGAGCAGGCGGAGGCCCAGCUUUCCGAGUUAGACCUGCUAGCCAGUAUGUUCCCUGGUGAGAAUGAGCUCAUAGUGAAUGACCAGCUGGCUGUAGCAGAACUGAAAGAUUGUAUUGAAAAGAAGACAAUGGAGGGGCGAUCUUCAAAAGUCUACUUUACUAUCAAUAUGAACCUGGAUGUAUCUGAGGAAAAAAUGGUAAUUCAGUUUUGCUUUUAGAGGGACUGAAACAUGUUGAGACUUAAAACAUUGGUUAGUGCCCUUUUUCUUCUUCUCUUUAAUCAGGCGAUGUUUUCUCUGGCCUGUAUUCUUCCCUUUAAAUACCCGGCAGUUCUGCCUGAAAUUACUGUCAGGUACGUUACAGAAGCUCUGGCCAACUUUAGAGGUCAAAAUUAAUCUGAGAAUAAAAGCAAUUCUCGAAUUUGUUUUCUGUUUCAAGACAAUAUUUUUCUUGUAUCUUUUCUAUUAGAUCAGCAUUAUUGAGUAGAUCCCAGCAGACUCAGCUGAACACAGAUCUGACUGCAUUCCUGCAAAAACAUUGUCAUGGAGAUGUUUGUAUACUGAAUGCCACAGAGUGGGUUAGAGAACACGCCUCUGGCUAUGUCAGCAGAGAUACUUCAUCUUCACCCACUACAGGAAACACAGUCCAGUCAGUUGACCUCAUCUUCACAAGACUCUGGAUCUACAGCCAUC
rnacentral:sRNA from 1 species